rnacentral:sRNA from 1 species
AGCGAGAGAACGUUGCGUCAGCAACGGCCCGCAGGGCCGUCAGCAACGGCCCGCAGGGCGAGCCACGCAGUGGCGAGUCAUCCUCUAUCACCGACCA